rnacentral:misc_RNA from 1 species
UGCAAAUUGUCAGUGGCAUCAUUUCUAUUAGAAGUCUCAAAGUCAAACCAUCAAGAAUGAAAAUUCAAAUUUGGCUUGCAUUAAUUGUACAUUUGUGCACGUAUAUAAAGUUUUAUUAACUGGACACAUAAUUCCCGACCCAAAGAUGGGUCCAGUCUCGUAUCCCCUGUAUUGAAACUCAAAGGACUUUUACAGCACUUGAGUUACCAUGGGAAUUAGACAAUUUAAUGGACACGUUCUGCAAUAGAACUUGUGCUGUCCAUAGAUAUUCUUA